AACAGAUGCUAAUACCGCAUAAAACCUAGCACCGCAUGGUGCAAGGUUGAAAGAUGGUUUCGGCUAUCACUUUAGGAUGGACCCGCGGUGCAUUAGUUAGUUGGUGAGGUAAAGGCUCACCAAGACCGUGAUGCAUAGCCGACCUGAGAGGGUAAUCGGCCACACUGGGACUGAGACACGGCCCAGACUCCUACGGGAGGCAGCAGUAGGGAAUCUUCCACAAUGGACGAAAGUCUGAUGGAGCAACGCCGCGUGAGUGAAGAAGGUUUUCGGAUCGUAAAACUCUGUUGUUGGAGAAGAACGUAUUUGAUAGUAACUGAUCAGGUAGUGACGGUAUCCAACCAGAAAGCCACGGCUAACUACGUGCCAGCAGCCGCGGUAAUACGUAGGUGGCAAGCGUUGUCCGGAUUUAUUGGGCGUAAAGCGAGCGCAGGCGGUUUCUUAAGUCUGAUGUGAAAGCCUUCGGCUCAACCGAAGAAGUGCAUCGGAAACUGGGAAACUUGAGUGCAGAAGAGGACAGUGGAACUCCAUGUGUAGCGGUGAAAUGCGUAGAUAUAUGGAAGAACACCAGUGGCGAAGGCGGCUGUCUGGUCUGUAACUGACGCUGAGGCUCGAAAGCAUGGGUAGCAAACAGGAUUAGAUACCCUGGUAGUCCAUGCCGUAAACGAUGAGUGCUAGGUGUUGGAGGGUUUCCGCCCUUCAGUGCCGCAGCUAACGCAUUAAGCACUCCGCCUGGGGAGUACGACCGCAAGGUUGAAACUCAAAGGAAUUGACGGGGGCCCGCACAAGCGGUGGAGCAUGUGGUUUAAUUCGAAGCAACGCGAAGAACCUUACCAGGUCUUGACAUCCUUUGACCACUCUAGAGAUAGAGCUUUCCCUUCGGGGACAAAGUGACAGGUGGUGCAUGGUUGUCGUCAGCUCGUGUCGUGAGAUGUUGGGUUAAGUCCCGCAACGAGCGCAACCCUUAUUACUAGUUGCCAGCAUUUAGUUGGGCACUCUAGUGAGACUGCCGGUGACAAACCGGAGGAAGGUGGGGACGACGUCAAAUCAUCAUGCCCCUUAUGACCUGGGCUACACACGUGCUACAAUGGAUGGUACAACGAGUCGCGAGACCGCGAGGUUUAGCUAAUCUCUUAAAACCAUUCUCAGUUCGGAUUGUAGGCUGCAACUCGCCUACAUGAAGCCGGAAUCGCUAGUAAUCGCGGA
rnacentral:rRNA from 1 species